rnacentral:lncRNA from 1 species
AUAUCGCCGGGAGAACCUCCUGGGAGGAGGAGACUCCAGUCCGCCUGCCUCCCGGGAACCGGGCGCGGGGAGGGCGCGGGGAGGCGCUGCGCCCACCUGCGCGCCGGGCUCCGCCGCGGCUCCGGCCCCCUGCACCCCGCCCCGCAGGCCGGGCCGCCUGGGGCGGGGGGUGGGGGGCGGCGGCGGAGGAGGCCGCGCUCAGUCCUCCAUGGCAAAGUCUUUGGUCUUUUCCUCCUGGUCGCCCACUUUGUAGCGCAGCAGCACGCGCAGGAGGCGGUGGUUGUCCCGGGAGGGCAGCAGCGUGAUCUCUCCGGAAAUGUCCGUGUCCUGCUCCACCGGCACCGGCUCGUUCAGGUAGAGCAGCGCUUGCUUCCAGUGCGUGACCGGGUGGAAGGGCGAGGUGGACAGCACCAGGGGCUUCUCCGCGUCCCCGCCGGGGAAGGUCACCUGGAACCAGACGGCGAAGCCGUGCAUGGGCGCCGAGCCGUAGCAGCUGAAGCGGAAGCGGCCGCCCACGCCGGCCUCCAGCUCCUGCUCCAGGCCGCUGCGGGCCAGCUCCAGCCGCGCGAAGCAGUGCGGCCGCGCCAGCACGUCCUCCCCGGACAGGCCCUGCACCACGAUCUCCGAGUGGCCCAUGAGGCAGCGCGUGGCGAAGCUCUCCAGGCAGCUCAUGUCCACGCCGUAGAGCUGCUUCACCUGGCUCCAGAAGCCCAGGCGCAGCUCCAGCAUCUGGUCGCUGACGGGCGCCACGAAGAGCUCGGCGGACGCCGGCAGCAGCAGGCCGCCCUCCUUGAGCCAGCGGGCCCGCGCGUGCAGCACGGAGCGCAGCAUGGACUCGUGCAGCAGCCCGUAGCCCAUCCACUCGCUCACGAUGGCGUCCACCUGCUCGGGCAGCUCCACCGUCUCCACCGGCCCCGGCAGCACGUGCACGCGGUCCUCCAGCCCGUUGAGCCGCACCACGUCGCGGGCCUGCUGCCAGAUGGCGCUGGCCUCCACGGCGUACACGCGCCGGGCGCCCGCCUGCACGCAGAAGAGGCUGAGGAUGCCGGUGCCCGCGCCCACGUCCAGCACCGUCUUGCCCCGCAGCCCGGCCCAGUUCCGCAGGAUGCCCAGGCGGUAGGCGUCGGUGCGGACGCGGUCCGCGAUCAUCUCCUCGUGCACCGAGAUGUCCGCGUAGCACUCGUAGUACAGCUGGUCCCGCUCCCGCCGCGCCCUCCGGGGUCGCGGCGGGGCCGCCUCCGGCGCUCCGCCAUCUUCCUCCUCACUUCCCUCCCCUCCUCCGCCGCCGCCGCCCCCCGACUCAAGCUUUCUUUUCUUGGGCUGCGACAUCUUGGCGGCCCCGGCCGACUCCCGGCGGGCCUUGCGCGGCUCCGCGCGGGCUCCGGGCAGCGGGGGCUUCUGGGACUUGUAGUGCCGGCUGGCACCGCCCACUUCCGGGGGAGAAGCCCGGAGCGCGGCCCCGCGCUGGCAGCCCUGCCGCCCCCGCCGCCCCGCGGAGCCGGGGGGGUGGGUCGGCGCCGCGCGCCCGAGUUCCGCGAGCCUCUCUCCCUCAGCCCCUCCGUUGCCCUCUGCCUCCGCCCGCUCUGA